rnacentral:lncRNA from 1 species
GCUUUGAUUCGGUUUUAGAUGAGUUGCAAGGCAUAGACUUGGAUGAAUUUGAUUUGGAUGUAGAUGAGCUCUUAAAGGUAGGCUUAGGUGGCUUUGAUUCAGAUGUAGAUGAGUACGAUUACAUGAAUAAAAGAAUGUAAGAUAUCUUGGCUAUAGAGGUAAGGAAGGACAAAGAUAUUAAAGGGAUCCCCUAGAAAGGGUUCCCAUAACCAGGGAGACAACUAGGCAAAGAA